AACGAACGCUGGCGGCAGGCCUCAAACAUGCAAGUCUAGGGGGUGUAGCAAUACAUCACCGGCGGACGGGUGCGUAACGCGUGGGAAUAUACCUAUCGAUUCGGAACAACUGAGGGAAACUUCAGCUAAUACCGAAUACGUCCUAACGGAGAAAGAUUUAUCGUCGAUAGAUUAGCCCGCGUUCGAUUAGCUAGUUGGUGGGGUAACGGCCCACCAAGGCGACGAUCGAUAGCUGUUCUGAGAGGAAGAUCAGCCACACUGGGACUGAGACACGGCCCAGACUCCUACGGGAGGCAGCAGUUGGGAAUCUUGGACAAUGGGGGGAAACCCUGAUCCAGCCAUGCCGCGUGAGUGAUGAAGGCCUUCGGUUGUAAAACUCUUUCGUCGCACGACGAUAAUGACGGUAGUGCGAGAAGAAGCUCCGGCUAACUUCGUGCCAGCAGCCGCGGUAAU
rnacentral:rRNA from 1 species